AGCCGAAUGCAGAUGCUUAACUGACUGAGCCAUCCAGACUGAUGCAUUUGAGACAAAACCACUACGGAGGCAAGAAGCAGGAGCUGCCUUCAGUCUAAGCAUCCCGCAGAAGCCAAGCCUUGGAAGAUGGAAAUGAUAAAGAAGCUGUUUACUAGGGUGACAUUCGCCUAACUUUGAUCCAGACAUGAUAUCAUCUCCAGGGUGUACCCUGUGCCAAACGACUGCAUGCUUUUGCCCCAAACGGUGGUUUUGUGCAGACUUACAAAUACGACCUGAAUAGCUGUGAGCCGGCCUGCACAUCCACAAACAGGUCAGAGCAGAUUUGAGUUACACAACUCCCCGCCGAGGGAGCCUGGUCCCCCCGUGGCCAGCUGGAGAGUUUACAUUUGUCAAUUACUUCCUUCAGGGCCUGGCUCAAGAUUCAUUUCCUUCAAGACUCCCUCUUCUACGAACUCACUUUGCUCAGCCAUUCCCUCCUCCCACAUCUGCUUAUUACUCAUCUCAUACUCUGUUCUGCUCUGCCACGUACUGUUGUGUUUUACCUCGUGAUCAUUCUCUGAAUUUUUACUUUAUCCUUCAGCUAAAUUAAAACUGCCUUGCAAGUAGGGCCUGUCUGCUCCUUUUGUAUGCUCCCGUGGCACUUAAGUACAGUGCUACACGUGUAAUGGUUUCCUAAUAAAAGAGGAAUGUUUUGUGGUUGUCGGGUUGGGCUUGGGAUCCUGCCUUUGCCUUCUGUUCCUGAAACCCACAGUCAGUGCUUCGACAGUCACAGGUUUUCCCAGGUCUGCUCUAGUGACAGGAUGUCACUUUGGCCUAUUCCUCUCUAACCCCAGAAAUUUCUCUCCUGACAUCUCGUGGAUUCGAUCGUCCAGAGGUUAGAUGGUCCACAAUCGGGAAGGCAGGGGUGAGGAGGCAGGGAGAAACCAAGUCUGUGCAGAGGGAUAUUAAGUGGACAGCACAGGAUCCAAGAGGGGAGGGCAGUACACCUGUAAGUGGCAGAGGGGACAGUGUUAGCAGGGGCUGGGGGGCGGGGCUGGAGAGGUAGUUGGGAUAGGACACAGCAAAGAGCUUCAGAUCUUUGGAGAAGGCUCAGGCUGGGGACGAGCUGGGGACAGUCUAGAGCCAAAGUGUUCAGAAUCGAUGUGGAUUUGAAGAAGAGGCAGAGGUACAGUCUAGCAUGUCUGAAAUAAAGAUGCAAGGUCUCAUACAUUCCUAGGGGAUACAUGACAACAUACUGGGGGAAAUAUGAACCCACAGGAGAGACAAGGCACUUUUUCUGGGAUGUCUAUUUUACUAUACAAUUUAGGAAUCUUCUAGUUGCAAACGAACUAGCCUAAUAAGCAAACCCACCCUGCCCUUUGUUGGAGCGGUGCACUUAACCCCAAGGUCUAUGAAGCUUCAGGUACGGCUGGAUACGGCACUCCAGUUACAUUGCCAGAGCUCUAGCUUUCUCUCUUUCUGCCCUGCUUGGCUUUCUUCGUGUGUAGGCUUUCUCCAAGUUGCAUUUGUUUGCUGGCAACUCCACAUCCUUAUUUACCUUGCUGAGCCACCCAGAAGAGGAAAAAGAACUCUGGGGUUCCUGCCUGGC